CUCACGGCCAAGCCCAUCAACACCGACACCAGCAGUUGGGCCACGAACACACAGCUGCUCACCACUGCCACGUCCGUGCCAAGCCCGCGAGCGUCGCCACUGCCGCCGCCGGCGCUGUCCCACUGGAAUAUGAAAAGGCAAAUUCCAACAAGGAGCGAGGGCAAAGGUGGAUCGAGACUUGAUCGAUACCAAUGGAACUAAAUCACCAGAGCUGUAAAAUCGAAACCCUAAGAAGAAAACACCGCCUAAAAAAAUCUGUUGCUAGAAAAAGUCUUCAUAAAAUUGGAUUGGGAGGAGUACGGGCUUAACAUAUAUGGCAGGAGACUAAACAACCUCAGAUUCGCUGACGACCUAGUACUGACGGAGGAAGAUCCCAAAAAAUUGGUGUUCAUGGUCAAAAACUUGUGCGAGGAGAGUAAACUUGUGGGUUUGGAAAUAAAUGCAAACAAAACAAAGAUGAUGACAAACGCAACCAAGGUAAACAUAAAAAUAGAUGGAAGCGCUUUUGAAUAUGUCGACGAGUAUGUGUACCUGGGUCAAAUUAUUUCCCCCAAAGACCAAAUGACCAAAGAAAUCGACAAACGAAUAGCAUGUGGAUGGGGAAAAUACUGGUCACUAAAAGAAAUAAUGAAAAGUAAGGACCUAGGUACCUAUAUAAAGAGAAAGACGUCCAAUACGUGCAUCCUCCCAUGAAUGACAUACGGAUGUGAAACCUGGUCAUUAACAGCAGAGCACAGAGACAAACUCGUCAAAUGCCAACGAGCUAUGGAGAGAAGUCUGCUUGGUACAAAACUAAGGGACAGUAUUUGGAACGAGGAAAUAAAGCGAAGAACAAAAGUAAAGGACAUACUCGAGCGUAUCGACCAACAAAAGUGGAGGUGGACAGGCCACAUGCUGCGCGACAACAAAGAAAAAUGGAGCAAGCAAGUGACCCACUGGUACCCACUCGGCUGCAAGCGCAAAAAAGCGCAGAUGGGAAGAUGACAUCCAGUUUACUCUAGUAUCCCGCUGGACCAGUGCAGUGUUGCUUUAGACAGCACUGGAAAAAGUUGGAAGAGGCCUAUGCCGACAGGCACACCACAUUAAGAGACAUUUUAUAAUAAGACAACUUAAUAUUUGUAUUUACAAGUGUUUCAUAUGUGGAUUAAAGGCUUAUUUAAUUUAAUUAAUAUCCGUUAUGUCACUAGCACCAAUAUAUAGGUGUUUAGCUUGUCGAUUACCUAAUACUUACAGCAUAUCGAACACCGCCCCACGGCACGAAGUCUGUAAAUUAGAGUGAGUAGCAGACAUGAGCCAUCCAGCAGGACAGAUUAGUGAGGCACACGACGCGGAGUGAGGACGGCAUCUCCACGAUGGAGCCAAU